GAUGAACGCUGGCGGCGUGCUUAACACAUGCAAGUCGAACGGAAAGCCCCUUCGGGGGAAUUCGAGUGGCGAACGGGUGAGUAACACGUGGGGAAUCUGCCCUUCUCUCUGGGAUAACUCGGGGAAACUCGAGCUAAUACCGGAUAUUCCGAUCAGGUCGCAUGGCCAGAUCGGGAAAGCUCCGGCGGAGAAGGAUGACCCCGCGGCCCAUUAGCUUGUUGGUGAGGUAACGGCUCACCAAGGCGACGAUGGGUAGCCGAGCUGAGAGGCUGAUCGGCCACACUGGGACUGAGACACGGCCCAGACUCCUACGGGAGGCAGCAGUGGGGAAUCUUGCGCAAUGGGCGAAAGCCUGACGCAGCAACGCCGCGUGCGGGAUGAAGGCUCUCGGGUCGUAAACCGCUUUCAGCAGGGAUGAAAUUGACAGUACCUGCAGAAGAAGCCCCGGCUAAAUACGUGCCAGCCGCCGCGGUAAUAC
rnacentral:rRNA from 1 species